rnacentral:rRNA from 1 species
AGACACGAGGUGCGUGGUCAUGCGUUGUCGUCAGCUCGUGUCGUGAGAUGUUGGGUUAAGUCCCGCAACGAGCGCAACCCUUGUCAUUAGUUGCCAUCAUUUGGUUGGGCACUCUAAUGAGACUGCCGGUGACAAACCGGAGGAAGGUGGGGAUGACGUCAAGUCCUCAUGGCCCUUAUGGGUAGGGCUUCACACGUCAUACAAUGGUCGGUACAGAGGGUUGCCAACCCGCGAGGGGGAGCUAAUCCCACAAAGCCGAUCGUAGUCCGGAUCGCAGUCUGCAACUCGACUGCGUGAAGUCGGAAUCGCUAGUAAUCGUGGAUCAGCAUGUCACGGUGAAUACGUUCCCGGGUCUU